CUCACUUGCUCUCACUUUUCCACUCCCCACUCUCUCCUCCACUCCCACACACUCUCCUCCUACCUCUCCCCACGAAAUUGCUGCUCCUCCUAGCUUCAUGGCCGGCCAUGGCCAUGGAAAGCUCACCAAGAUGCAGCUCCUUCCUCCCUCAAGCUCAUCCUCACCAUGAGAGCCUCCCCCUCCAUCUUCUCCCCAACCUUAGAUGGUUUAAUCUCCUCUUCUUCUCCCUCCAUUGCUAAGAUUGGAUCUUGAUGCAGGUGCAUGUUGGUCCAAGCAUGGAGAAGGUUGAGCUAUCCUCAGAUCUGAAGUUCUUGAGCAAAGUUCGUCCAAAACCUUGCAGUAAUUUCUGUUUCUUGCUGUUUCAGAUUCUGGUACGAUCUUGUAAAAUCCGCCAAAUCUCGUGUGCAGAUCCAAAUCGAGUGGUUAAAAGUUCUACAGAUAGAUCAAGAUCUGGUCAGAUCUGACUUUGUCGAAUUAAAUCAGGAGCUUGGAAACGAAUUUUUGAAUGAAACCAGUUGGGGGGUACUUAGCUUGUGCCAUGGUGAUACCGAGAGAGGCAAUUGCUAAGUUAUGAUGCACUCAUGCCUCUACUAGAUGCGAACAAUUCCGGAGAAGAAGAAGAAGUGGUUCGGACAAGGAUUUUAUUUAUAUUGACGGGAUUCUUAUAUUGAUGAAGUUGAAGAAGUCCAGGGACAAAUAAGCCAAGGCAAGCCAUCUUUUGAUCUCUGUUUUGGUGUCUAGUUGGAUGUCAUUUGUUGAUGUCCAAAGCACCUUGAAUUCUAUGUGUGUUAUUCUCUCUAUUUAUGUCAUCUAUGUGUGUUUCCAAGUGGGGUACUCCCUAGUGGUGAUACUCCACCUUUGUCUUGUGAUUAUGGGAUACAUGGCAUCAUGGCCGUGCUACUCCCAUUGGUUAUCAUGUAUGCCCAACUUGAGCAUGCAUAAUCUCAAGAAAAUAACUUACAUCACUCCCACCCCCUUUGUAGUAUAGAGGUGUCUAUGUCAUGAUCUUGGUGUAUUCUCCAAUUGAGAGGAGUAUGCCGUGCACCCUAUUGGAGAGUAUGUUGGAUAGUAAUACUCCACUAUCUAAGUUGUAUAGUUACCACCACAAAUCUGAGAGUAUAUUCCUCCUUGUGUUGUCAUAAUACAUGCUUACCAUAAGCAAGUAUGAUUCACUCCACUACACCUUUAUACCCCUCUAUGGCGUGAUGACUCUCAUCUCGGCCGUAGUGCAAUAGUAGUUCAGCUCAUGAAACUUUAGGUUGGGAACCCCUCAAGGUUUUACCUUGUUGUAAAAGUUUUUGAUAAAACCUUGGGCAUGAUGUUUUCCCCAAGUGAGAAUUUAUGAAAGGAAAGGAUUUGGUAAAAAUGAUGAGGAUAUGAAAAAGGUUGGGUUUUAUGAAAACUUUGGCGCCUAAGUACUCACCCAUGACAAUUAACUAGCGCAACCACAAUAUCCAAAGUGGGCACGGGCUUAGUCCGUAGUUUGUUGAAGUUGACAUGAGAUACCUUCACCACUCUCUAGGAGGGUCACGAUGACCUCUGACACCGGGUUGCGCUCUAAAGGAGGCAAUACACUGCAUUAACUUGCAGCCGGACGAUUACUGAGGGUCUUCUAUCAUGGCGCCGGAGAUACGCUCAAAAGGAGGUAUGCUGCCGGGGUGCCGGGAAGGGGUAAGCCCGCAGGGAAGGACUCAUGACAAGGGAGACAGGCGAAAGGCUAUGACUGAUUAUCCGAGACUCGCAUACUUUAGUAUGACGAACCGGGGAUGAUCUCGGCGGAUUUAUCGGUUCUUGUGGGGAAAGUGCGCACACUCUGCAGAGUUAAAUCUAUUCGAAUAGCCGCGUCCGUGGUCAUGGACGG